AAAUUCUCUAAACGGCCCUCCCGAAUUCUACAUAACUAUAUAAUUAUUAAUCGAGGGCCCUACAUUUGUUUUGUUCGGCGAGGCUCGUCUCAUUAUUUUAUUAAAGGCCAAUUGAAAGUACUAUAUUAUCUGAUCACGAAAAUUAAACCUACCAAGACUAGCCCAAGUCCAAUCAGACUGAUAAUUAAAUUGGGACUUGGGCCGUCCAUUCAUAUAACAAAGCCCAAAUUGUUUAAUAGGACUGGCCCCCAAAAUGAACUCAACUGAACACUUUAUGAAAUCAGUGGAAACGGGUAACAAUGGACGAUUAUGCGAGUCAAGCAAAUAUAGCCUAUUUGAACGUUAAUUCCAUGUUCCAUACAUUUAUUCCUUUAUAUAAUGGUGUAUUCUCUAACAUUGAAGAUGAAAACAAGCAUGUAAUUAACAAGAGUAUUACUGCAGCCAACCAAUUGUCCUCGAUCCAAUUCAAGCUAACAUCAUUAAGUGACUUUGGACUAUUAGAACCAACUACAUGAAUCUCAGGACCAGUCAGAACUUCAUUUUACCAUUUGAAGUUAAGGAUAAUAGAAAUUACGAACACGGAAUAAAUAAGACAACUAAUGAGGCUACGCAAUAUCCACAACUAUGCAUACAACUAAUAAAUUAUCAACCAUAAGCAAUCCAAUUGAUCAGCCUAAGUAUAAAGCUAACAAAUACAAACCAUGAAAUGGUGAGUUCAUUGAAACCAACUGCUAAAAGAAAACUAAUUGUAUAAAAUGAACAAAACACAAUAGAAGAUUCAGCUAGCAUCAGAAGGCGAAUCAUUUUCAUUUCAUCAGUGAAAUUGCAUAAGCUCAAGUAUGUACCUGGAAUACAAGAAAAGAACAGAAGCAAGAAGUCAGCAACAGCAGUUAGCAAAUUCAAUCAAACAGCCCAACAACUUGAUUUAGAUGUCCAGAACAGAUUUGAAAUCCAGCAAAAUCAGAAGAAACAACCACAGACCGCGUGCAUAACCCACUGAACUUGAAAAUGAAAUCCAAAAUUCACACACUCCUCAACAAAUAACCCAAAUAACAACACAGUGUACCCCAAAUGCCUUCGAAACUGAAUUUAGGUGUAAAAACCAACUCAAAAGACCCAAAUACCUUUAAACAAAUUACCCAAAACCUCUAAGUGAUGUUCGACAGACUUGAAACUAUAGAGAAACAGAAGAAUUUCAGUAGGAACUUGAACACAAUUUUAAAAAAAGCAAAGAAACAGUACAAUAUUUUUGGUUUUGUUUUUUUUUUUUUUAAUUUUAGCUUCUACUUUGAAUCUGGAACUGAAAGGGAAAAUUUUUUGAGCUAAACUAGCUAUUAAAUAGUAAAUUUUUUUGGGGCUGAAAAAAGAAGACCCCUCCUCAAGGCAUUUGAUACCUUUUUAUAGGCAACCCUAGGGCAAAGAAUCACAUUUUGGUUUUCUAUGUUAGGCCCUUUUAAUUUUCAGUUUAGUCCUUUUAUUUCUAACUUGUUUCCCAAGUUAUUCACUAAGUUUUCUGAAAUAUACAUUAAAUUCUCAUUCUAGUAGUUUCUAGGAUGCUCUUUUAGCCCCAAAAUACUUAUACUACCCUUUAGCCUAUAUUGCAAUUACCAAUUUUCAAGAUACUACAAUUUUCCAUCUCUAAAGUACCCUUUCAACAGUCUGAAAAUUACAGACUAAGCUAGCUGGACCCAAUCCCUCACCCCAAGCUGCCCAAAUAUCCCUUGGGUCUUUAAUUAAACCAAAAUUAGCCUAUUAAUCAUAAUCAACCAGUUUCAAAGGACUAAACAAAAUUAAAUAACAAACGAACCAAUUACUCUAAGAAGAAGAGUAAUGUAAUAACAACCAUGGAAUUUCGAUCACCCAGAUAACAAAUGUAAUUUUUAAAAAAAUAUCCAAGCACUAACAAGAUCUAAAACAGUGGCCACCGCUAAUCAGAUUAAAAUAUGAAUUAAACUAUCAAGAGGUUAAUUGAAUUCAAAUGGUAAAGAUAGAGAAGAAACUUACCUAUGCCAGACCGGUGAAGAGAUUGAAAGAAAAUCGAUUCGAGUCCCGGAAUAACAUUAAUCGUUUGUUAUUUGAAGAACAAACGAAAACGUUAUUCAGUGGCUCAAAUCCAACACCAGACUCGAAAAAUCAAGCAAAAUUAAGCAACAGUGAACUCCUAGGGCUCCUCCUCCUUUAUGAUUCGAAAUUCGAGCAUCUCCGGUGGCGUUUGAAGGAAGCCAAUGAGAGAUUCAAGAAGUGAAGGAACAUGAGAGUGUAGGGUGUAACUUUGGGGUCAUUUGGAUAAAUUUGCAUCUGGGCCGAAAUCUUCAAUUCAAGAUUCGAGCAGCUGGGGAGUGAUUCGAAGGAUAACAAUCAUGGAUUCGAGAUGAGGCUAGUCAGACGGUCUUGGGGUGUUAUUUUGGUUGAGAUUGGAGUGGUUGCCGCCACCCUUAGGCGGUGGGGUUCGGUGGCGGCUUGGCUAGGGUUUGGGAGGGGUGAGGAAGAUGAUGCGAAGUGGGGUGGGUAGGGAUGUUCGAACAGUCUUAUAGUCAUGGAUGGGGACUUCACAACCGUUGUAUCAUCAAAC
rnacentral:lncRNA from 1 species